GCAGUCGAGCGAAUGGAUUGAGAGCUUGCUCUCAAGAAGUUAGCGGCGGACGGGUGAGUAACACGUGGGUAACCUGCCCAUAAGACUGGGAUAACUCCGGGAAACCGGGGCUAAUACCGGAUAACAUUUUGAACUGCAUGGUUCGAAAUUGAAAGGCGGCUUCGGCUGUCACUUAUGGAUGGACCCGCGUCGCAUUAGCUAGUUGGUGAGGUAACGGCUCACCAAGGCAACGAUGCGUAGCCGACCUGAGAGGGUGAUCGGCCACACUGGGACUGAGACACGGCCCAGACUCCUACGGGAGGCAGCAGUAGGGAAUCUUCCGCAAUGGACGAAAGUCUGACGGAGCAACGCCGCGUGAGUGAUGAAGGCUUUCGGGUCGUAAAACUCUGUUGUUAGGGAAGAACAAGUGCUAGUUGAAUAAGCUGGCACCUUGACGGUACCUAACCAGAAAGCCACGGCUAACUACGUGCCAGCAGCCGCGGUAAUACGUAGGUGGCAAGCGUUAUCCGGAAUUAUUGGGCGUAAAGCGCGCGCAGGUGGUUUCUUAAGUCUGAUGUGAAAGCCCACGGCUCAACCGUGGAGGGUCAUUGGAAACUGGGAGACUUGAGUGCAGAAGAGGAAAGUGGAAUUCCAUGUGUAGCGGUGAAAUGCGUAGAGAUAUGGAGGAACACCAGUGGCGAAGGCGACUUUCUG
rnacentral:rRNA from 1 species